rnacentral:rRNA from 1 species
UCGCCUGUUUAUCAAAAACAUCUCCUUUAGGCGGAUAUUUUAAAGGUAUUCUCUGCUCAAUGAAUUUUUAAUAGCCGCAGUAUCUUGACUGUGCUAAGGUAGCAUAGUAAUUUGUCUUAUAAUUGAGGACUGGAAUGAAUGAGUUGACGAUAUUUUAGCUUUCUUAAAAUAACCUGUGGAAUUUGAUAUCUUCAUCAAAAAGUGAAGAUUUUUAAAGGGACGACAAGACCCUAUAAAGCUUCACCCAAAGGUACUAUUUUUAAGUUGGGCCGAUAAAAAAUAUUUUUUUGGGUUGAGCUGGGGCGGCAUCCAAGUAAUCAUUGGAAAUAUUAACAUUAAUACAUGAGAUUUUAGAUCUUUUUAGAGAUGUAGAACAAGCUACUUUAGGGAUAACAGCACAAUUUUACCAUAGAGAUCUUAUUGAAGGUAAAGACUUGUGACCUCGAUGUUGAAUUGAAGGGGCGUUUUCAAGCAGGAAUGAAAAUGGAAGGUCUGUUCGACCUAUAAUUCUUCACGUGAUCUGAGUUCAGACCGG